UAAGGAAUAUUGGGCAAUGGACGCAAGUCUGACCCAGCCAUGCCGCGUGGAGGAUGAAGGUCCUCUGGAUUGUAAACUUCUUUUAUCUGGGAAGAAACCCAUGUUUUCUAACGUGGUUGACGGUACCAGAUGAAUAAGCACCGGCUAACUCCGUGCCCGCAGCCGCGGUAAUACGGAGGGUGCAAGCGUUAUCCGGAUUCACUGGGUUUAAAGGGUGCGUAGGUGGACAGGUAAGUCAGUGGUGAAAUCCCCGAGCUUAACUCGGGAACUGCCGUUGAUACUAUCUGUCUUGAAUAUCGCGGAGGUAAGCGGAAUAUGUCAUGUAGCGGUGAAAUGCUUAGAUAUGACAUAGAACACCGAUUGCGAAGGCAGCUUACUACACGGUCAUUGACACUGAGGCACGAAAGCGUGGGGAGCAAAC
rnacentral:rRNA from 1 species